rnacentral:rRNA from 1 species
GACGAACGCUGGCGGCGUGCUUAACACAUGCAAGUCGAACGGAAAGGCCCUGCUUUUGUGGGGUGCUCGAGUGGCGAACGGGUGAGUAACACGUGAGUAACCUGCCCUUGACUUUGGGAUAACUUCAGGAAACUGGGGCUAAUACCGGAUAGGAGCUCCUGCUGCAUGGUGGGGGUUGGAAAGUUUCGGCGGUUGGGGAUGGACUCGCGGCUUAUCAGCUUGUUGGUGGGGUAGUGGCUUACCAAGGCUUUGACGGGUAGCCGGCCUGAGAGGGUGACCGGCCACAUUGGGACUGAGAUACGGCCCAGACUCCUACGGGAGGCAGCAGUGGGGAAUAUUGCACAAUGGGCGGAAGCCUGAUGCAGCAACGCCGCGUGCGGGAUGACGGCCUUCGGGUUGUAAACCGCUUUCGCCUGUGACGAAGCGUGAGUGACGGUAAUGGGUAAAGAAGCACCGGCUAACUACGUGCCAGCAGCCGCGGUGAUACGUAGGGUGCGAGCGUUGUCCGGAUUUAUUGGGCGUAAAGGGCUCGUAGGUGGUUGAUCGCGUCGGAAGUGUAAUCUUGGGGCUUAACCCUGAGCGUGCUUUCGAUACGGGUUGACUUGAGGAAGGUAGGGGAGAAUGGAAUUCCUGGUGGAGCGGUGGAAUGCGCAGAUAUCAGGAGGAACACCAGUGGCGAAGGCGGUUCUCUGGGCCUUUCCUGACGCUGAGGAGCGAAAGCGUGGGGAGCGAACAGGCUUAGAUACCCUGGUAGUCCACGCUGUAAACGGUGGGUACUAGGUGUGGGGUCCAUUCCACGGGUUCCGUGCCGUAGCUAACGCUUUAAGUACCCCGCCUGGGGAGUACGGCCGCAAGGCUAAAACUCAAAGGAAUUGACGGGGCCCCGCACAAGCGGCGGAGCAUGCGGAUUAAUUCGAUGCAACGCGUAGAACCUUACCUGGGUUUGACAUGGAUCGGGAGUGCUCAGAGAUGGGUGUGCCUCUUUUGGGGUCGGUUCACAGGUGGUGCAUGGCUGUCGUCAGCUCGUGUCGUGAGAUGUUGGGUUAAGUCCCGCAACGAGCGCAACCCUUGUUCACUGUUGCCAGCACGUUAUGGUGGGGACUCAGUGGAGACCGCCGGGGUCAGCUCGGAGGAAGGUGGGGAUGACGUCAAGUCAUCAUGCCCCUUAUGUCCAGGGCUUCACGCAUGCUACAAUGGCUGGUACAGAGAGUGGCGAGCCUGUGAGGGUGAGCGAAUCUCGGAAAGCCGGUCUCAGUUCGGAUUGGGGUCUGCAACUCGACCUCAUGAAGUCGGAGUCGCUAGUAAUCGCAGAUCAGCAACGCUGCGGUGAAUACGUCCCCGGGGCU